rnacentral:rRNA from 3 species
UUAAAACUUUCAACAACGGAUCUCUUGGUUCUCGCAUCGAUGAAGAACGCAGCGAAAUGCGAUAAGUAGUGUGAAUUGCAGAAUUCAGUGAAUCAUCGAAUCUUUGAACGCACAUUGCGCCUCCUGGUAUUCCGGGAGGCAUGCCUGUUCGAGCGUCAU